GAGUUCUGAUUAAAAUAUUUAAUUAAUCUGACCUUUUUCUAAGGGUUUCUACACUUGAUCUGAGCUCA
rnacentral:snoRNA from 10 species